AGAAAGCUGUGGCUAAGGGGCAAAGUGGCCACUAAGCACCCCGACCCUAGGGAGCUCGGCGUGAAUUUCUUGGGAGGGCAGGAAGCAAGAACUGGGCUUCCCUGGGACUGAGGAAGGUUCACCAGCCCGGCAGAAGCCACGGCAGGAGAUAAAGGAGUCUCCCUGGAGAGGCACGACCAGAGAAUUCCCCCUUGGACAGCAACCCUGGGCUCAGCUGCCAUUGGCUAGACGAGGGCCAGACUUUCCGGGCGGUCACCGAACGGCACCUUGGCUUACAGCUGAAGAACUCUAGCCAUACCAAACCGGACUAGAAAACAGACUUUAAUUUUACACAUACGAAUGUCAGCUCAGGUUUACAGCAGGUAAGAAAAAUAUAUACAAACUGCGGCUUAAAAAAGGAAAAGGAAGAAACACGCAGCCCGUGUUUGCGCUGACGUGAGUCAUCCCAGGAAUCCGACUUUCUGUCUCUUGGGCCCCAGGCUUUCCUCCUUGUGUAGAAUGCUCUGCAGGGAGGCGUGCAGCACCUUGCCCACUCGCUUGCCAGUCUGCAGGGCAGAAGAGAGCACACACCCACUUGUGAGGCACACACACCCAGACCAGGAGAGCUUCCCUCGCUGCCUGCCAGCCAUCCAAACUAUACCUCCAAACUAUACCGGCUCCAUCUGCCUUAAGGGACUUUUAUUUAAUUAAACAAGUCAAUACAAAAACAACCCCCAAACAACAACAACAGAACAGUUACCUUCUGGAAAAAUCUCAUACUAAAAACAAAAACAAAGGAGAAUACCUACCCCCAGGCCCAGGCGGCCAGCAGGAAGCAGCCAAGGCUGCCUCAGCCAUCAGCUCCCGCUUAGCACUCCCGCUGCCAUUACAACAAGCAGCAAAACCGUCAAGCAGACCUGGUUUUGGUUACUGCCGAGUCCUGCUGCCUGGUGGGGCGAAGGCAGAGGGAGGCCACAGGGAACCGAGAGUGUGUCUAAUGAAGGAACAGAUGGCGCUGGGGACACGUUUGAACAAGCAGUUUCUCAUUCACCUGCCACCAGAUCUCUAAGCGGGACUGUUCAGAGGGGACCCAGCUGAUACCUGGGUAGGGUCUCCGGUAUCGCUGCCAUGCAGAGAGGCUAAAAGAAUGGGAUGUCAGGAGCAAGACGCCAUCAAGAGGUCAGACAACCCGCAGACUUCCUAAUCAGCCCCCACACAGGAGACACGAGGAGGGGCCCUCAAAAAGAACUCACUAACAUACAAAAAUCUUUCUUUAUGAAACUGUUUUCUGUGUCUGAGCUCAUGAAUAAUUUUUUUAAUGUUUAUUUUUGAGAGAGAGAGAGAGAGAGAGAGAGAGAGUGAGCAGGGGAGGCGCAGAGAGAGGGGGACAGAGGAUCUAAAGUAGGCUCUGCACUGAUAGCACAGAGCCCGAUGCAGGGCUUGAUCUCAUGAACCAGGAGAUCAUGACCUGAGCUGAAGUCAGACGCUUAACCGACUGAGCCACCCAGGCGCCCUGCUCAUGUGUAUUUCAAGACUAUGAUGAACCAACCACAGGUCUCCACGUCGUCAAGUCUUCCACAUUCCCAUAGAAGUUUUCAUUCAGUUGUGCUGCCGGUUCCACUCUCAGCAACGUCAGGGAGAAAGAUACCCAGGCCAAGACCCUCGCCUCAACUCUCCCAGUUACGAGGAACUUCUCCCCUGGCCCCUAACUGGAACACAGGAUGAGACUCCAAGUAUUGCCGGAAAUUCAUAUGAAAAAAUCUCAUUCCAAAAGUGGGAAGUGUUCACUUGCAUGAUGCAAAGUCAGGGCUAAGGACCAAAGUGACCAGAAAGGUUUUUUACCAUAACAUGAGAGAAGGAGAGCAUGUCAGAGUCGAUCAGAGAGGGUUACUGAUUACUCAUAUGAAUGAAGGUGGGGGACGGGGUAAGAGGGGACGGGACAGACAGGACACUAGGACUUGGGAGGUCUGAAUGUGAACGGCAGAGGCCAACCCCCCACCGAUGUUUUAAGCUUCACAACAGGCAUUUCUGGAUUGCUGCUUCCCUGGGUGAGGCCAGAGCAGUCAGACAGGACCACGGGGCUAUGGUUCCCCCUGAGCUGGGUCUGCAGACCUCAUCUGCCGAGCCCCGGAGGAGGAUGUAGCUCGGCUCACCAGACAGAGCUCUGGCUCUCCUACCAGCCACGGCAGCCACAGCCUACCUGGUUUGUAGGGUUAAAAAUAGCUCAGUGUGGCUGCAGGGGUGCCAGGGCAGCCCUAGAAGCGCACAGUCUGGGUGUGAAUCCUACUGCCGGCAUGAUGAGCUGGGAAACCCACAGGCAACUUACCUAUCUGCUACAUGUCUCAAUGUCCACGUCUGCAAAACCAAGGAUAACAACAAUGGUUGCCCCACAGGAAGGCUAAGGACUAAAUGACAUAAUAGGUUGGGUGCCUGGGUGGCUCAGUCGGGAGGAGGCAUCUUGACUUUGGCUCAGGUCAUGAGCUCGUGGUUUGUGAGCUGGAGCCCCACAUUGGGCUUGCUGCUCUCAGCCUGUCAGCACAGAGCCUGCUUCGGGUCCUCUGUCCCCCUCUCUGCUCCUCCCCCACCUGCGCUUUCCCAAAAGUAAAUUAAAAAUAAGUAAAUAGAUAAAUGACAUAAUAUGUUUAAAGCACUAAACACAGAGCACCUGACACAAAGUGAGUGCCCGACAAAUUGUCGUGAUUCCUUACUGCUUUUCUUGUUUUACGUACUGGGAUUCCCGUAAAAUUCUCCUGGAAGAGGUGGGGGAGAAGAGCUCCUUCCAAGACAAGGUUUCAGAGCCACUUGUCUAGAGAGGCAGAACUUAUAAAGUAUUUGAAGGGUUUUUGUUUAAAAAAAAAAAACUAACCAAUUGACCAACCGGGCCACGAAGAAUCCCCCUGCUGUGCACGGCAAGAGACACCUGAGCUCCGGGCAGACCCAAGCCGCGAUAUUGCCGCACCCCCACGUCCUUAGGGGCCGUCAUGCGGCCUCACAACACGUCCAGCGGCAGGCACCCCGACCGCUGUUACGCUCUCCCUGAGAUGAGCUGCCUCCCAGCCCGGGUAGUCUGUCUUCACGCCUGAGUUCUCGACACC